rnacentral:rRNA from 1 species
AGUGGACGCUGGCGGCAGGCCUAACACAUGCAAGUCGAACGGCAGCACAGUAAGAGCUUGCUCUUACGGGUGGCGAGUGGCGGACGGGUGAGGAAUACAUCGGAAUCUACUUUUUCGAGGGGGAUAACGUAGGGAAACUUACGCUAAUACCGCAUACGACCUACGGGUGAAAGCAGGGGAUCUUCGGACCUUGCGCGAUUGAAUGAGCCGAUGUCGGAUUAGCUAGUUGGCGGGGUAAAGGCCCACCAAGGCGACGAUCCGUAGCUGGUCUGAGAGGAUGAUCAGCCACACUGGAACUGAGACACGGUCCAGACUCCUACGGGAGGCAGCAGUGGGGAAUAUUGGACAAUGGGCGCAAGCCUGAUCCAGCCAUGCCGCGUGGGUGAAGAAGGCCUUCGGGUUGUAAAGCCCUUUUGUUGGGAAAGAAGAGCAGCAGGUUAAUACCCCGCUGUUCUGACGGUACCCAAAGAAUAAGCACCGGCUAACUUCGUG